UACGGAGGAUCCAAGCGUUAUCCGGAAUCAUUGGGUUUAAAGGGUCCGUAGGCGGUCUAAUAAGUCAGUGGUGAAAGCCCAUCGCUUAACGAUGGAACGGCCAUUGAUACUGUUAGACUUGAAUUACUGGGAAGUAACUAGAAUAUGUAGUGUGGCGGUGAAAUGCCUAGAUAUUACAUGGAAUACUAAUUGCGAAGGCAGGUUACUACCAGUGGAUUGACGCUGAUGGACGAAAAGCGUGGGGAGCGAACAGG
rnacentral:rRNA from 1 species